UCCUACGGGGGGCAGCAGUGGGGAAUAUUGCGCAAUGGGGGAAACCCUGACGCAGCGACGCCGCGUGCGGGAUGAAGGCCUUCGGGUUGUAAACCGCUUUCAGCAGGGACGAAGCGGAAGUGACGGUACCUGCAGAAGAAGCGCCGGCUAACUACGUGCCAGCAGCCGCGGUAACACGUAGGGCGCGAGCGUUGUCCGGAAUUAUUGGGCGUAAAGAGCUCGUAGGCGGCCUGUUGCGUCCGCUGUGAAAGCCCGGGGCUUAACCCCGGGUCUGCAGUGGAUACGGGCAGGCUAGAGGUAGGCAGGGGAGAAUGGAAUUCCCGGUGUAGCGGUGAAAUGCGCAGAUAUCGGGAGGAACACCGGUGGCGAAGGCGGUUCUCUGGGCCUUACCUGACGCUGAGGAGCGAAAGCGUGGGGAGCGAACAGGAUUAGAUACCCUGGUAGC
rnacentral:rRNA from 1 species